UGGGGAAUUUUGGACAAUGGGCGAAAGCCUGAUCCAGCAAUGCCGCGUGAGUGAAGAAGGCCUUCGGGUUGUAAAGCUCUUUUGUCAGGGAAGAAACGGUGAGGGCUAAUAUCCCUUGCUAAUGACGGUACCUGAAGAAUAAGCACCGGCUAACUACGUGCCAGCAGCCGCGGUAAUACGAAGGGUGCAAUCGUUAAUCGGAAUUACUGGGCGUAAAGCGUGCGCAGGCGGUUUUGUAAGUCUGAUGUGAAAUCCCCGGGCUCAACCUGGGAAUUGCAUUGGAGACUGCAAGGCUAGAAUCUGGCAGAGGGGGGUAGAAUUCCACGUGUAGCAGUGAAAUGCGUAGAUAUGUGGAGGAACACCGAUGGCGAAGGCAGCCCCCUGGGUCAAGAUUGACGCUCAUGCACGAAAGCGUGGGGAGCAAACA
rnacentral:rRNA from 1 species